GACGAACGCUGGCGGCGUGCUUAACACAUGCAAGUCGAACGGAAAGGCCCUGCUUUUGUGGGGUUCUCGAGUGGCGAACGGGUGAGUAACACGUGAGUAACCUGCCCUUGACUUUGGGAUAACUUCAGGAAACUGGGGCUAAUACCGGAUAGGAGCUCCUACUGCAUGGUGGGGGUUGGAAAGUUUCGGCGGUUGGGGAUGGACUCGCGGCUUAUCAGCUUGUUGGUGGGGUAGUGGCUUACCAAGGCUUUGACGGGUAGCCGGCCUGAGAGGGUGACCGGCCACAUUGGGACUGAGAGACGGCCCAGACUCCUACGGGAGGCAGCAGUGGGGAAUAUUGCACAAUGGGCGGAAGCCUGAUGCAGCAACGCCGCGUGCGGGAUGACGGCCUUCGGGUGGUAAACCGCUUUCGCCUGUGACGAAGAGUGAGUGACGGUAAUGGGUAAAGAAGCAACGGCUAACUACGUG
rnacentral:rRNA from 1 species